GUCACUUUGACGGAGUGGUUAACGUGCGGCCCUGCUAUCCACAAUUCGCUCGCCCUUGACUGGGCGGCGUGCAUACAAGGCCGUGUCUUCGGACGCACAGGUUCGAAUCCUGUAGGUGACG